rnacentral:rRNA from 1 species
UGGUCAAGUUAUUAAGGGUGCAGGGCGGAUGCCUUGGCACUAGGAGCCGAUGAAGGACGUGAUAAGCUGCGAUAAGCUUCGGGGAGUUGCACGUAAACUUUGAUCCGAAGAUUUCCGAAUGAGGAAACUCACUUAGAGUAAUGUCUAAGUAUCAUUAAGUGAAUACAUAGUUUAAUGAGGGGAACUCAGGGAACUGAAACAUCUAAGUACCUGAAGGAAGAGAAAGAAAUUCGAUUCCGUAAGUAGCGGCGAGCGAACGCGGAUUAGCCCAAACCAAUAAAGUUUUCUUUAUUGGGGUUGAGGACAUACCACAUAUAAGAGGUCAUUAUAGACGAAGAAGUUUGGAAAAACUCAUCAUAGAAGGUAAUAAUCCUGUAGUCAAAAUAAUAAUUCUUUAGGUAUGAUCCAGAGUACCACGGGACACGUGAAACCCUGUGGGAAGCAGGAGGGACCACCCUCCAAGGCUAAAUACUACCUAGUGACCGAUAGCGUAUAGUACCGUGAGGGAAAGGUGAAAAGAACCCCGGGAGGGGGAGUGAAAUAGAACCUGAAACCCUGCACUUACAAGCUGUGGAAGCACAUUUCUUGUGUGACCGCGUACUUUUUGUAGAACGGGCCAACGAGUUACGUUAAGUAGCAAGGUUAAGCACUUAAGGUGCGGAGCCGUAGCGAAAGCGAGUUUUAACUGAGCGUUCAGUUACUUGACGUAGACCCGAAACCGGGCGACCUACCCAUGAGCAGGAUGAAGCGAAAGUAAAAUUUCGUGGAGGUCCGAACCCACGAGCGUUGAAAAGCUCGGGGAUGACUUGUGGGUAGCGGUGAAAUUCCAAUCGAGCCCGGAGAUAGCUGGUUCUCCCCGAAAUAGCUUUAGGGCUAGCCUCAAGGUGAGAGAUACGGAGGUAGAGCACUGAAUGUCCUAGGGGGUAUUGCACCUACCGAAGACUAUCAAACUCCGAAUGCCGUCAUCUUAUACUUGGGAGUCAGACUGUGGGUGAUAAGAUUCAUAGUCGAAAGGGCAACAGCCCAGAUCGUCAGCUAAGGUCCCUAAAUGUAAGUUAAGUGGUAAAGGAUGUGGGAUUGCACAGACAACCAGGAUGUUGGCUUAGAAGCAGCCACUCAUUCAAAGAGUGCGUAAUAGCUCACUGGUCGAGUGAUCCUGCGCCGAAGAUUUCCGGGGCUAAAACUUACUACCGAAGCUACGGCAUCAGUAAUGAUGGGUAGGGGAGCUUCCCAUACGGGUUGAAGCAUGACCGUAAGGACAUGUGGACAGUAUGGGAGUGAGAAUGUUGGCAUGAGUAGCGAGAUGUGGGUGAGAAUCCCACAGGCCGUAAACCCAAGGUUUCCAGGGGGAAGGUUCGUCCGCCCUGGGUUAGUCGGGACCUAAGCUGAGGCCGAAAGGCGUAGGUGAUGGACAACAGGUUGAUAUUCCUGUACUACCGAUAACCGUUUGAGAGAAGGGAUGACACAGUAGGAUAAGCUAAGCACACUGUUGGUUAUGUGUGCCCAAGCAUUGAGGCAGUCAAAGUAGGCAAAUCCGCUUUGAUAAUGCUGGGAUGUGAUGGGGAGCGAAAUUUAGUAGCGAAGUAGCUGAUUUCACACUGUCAAGAAAAGUCUCUAUCGAGGUUAAAGGUACCCGUACCGCAAACCGACACAGGUGGGUGAGGAGAGUAUCCUAAGGCCAGCGAGAGAACUGUUGUUAAGGAACUCGGCAAAAUGACCCCGUAACUUAGGGAUAAGGGGUGCCACCAUCAGGUGGCCGCAGAGAAUAGGCCCAAGCGACUGUUUACCAAAAACAUAGGUUUCUGCUAAGUCGCAAGACGAUGUAUAGGAGCUGACGCCUGCCCGGUGCUGGAAGGUUAAGGGGAUCUGUUAGAGCAAUCGAAGCAGUGAACUUAAGCCCCAGUAAACGGCGGCCGUAACUAUAACGGUCCUAAGGUAGCGAAAUUCCUUGUCGGGUAAGUUCCGACCCGCACGAAAGGCGUAACGAUUUGGGCACUGUCUCAACAACAGACUCGGUGAAAUUGUAAUUCCGGUGAAGAUGCCGGAUACCUGCGACAGGACGGAAAGACCCCAUGGAGCUUUACUGUAGCUUGACAUUGGGUCUUGGUACUACAUGUACAGGAUAGGUGGGAGGCUUUGAAACCAGGACGCCAGUUUUGGCGGAGCCAUCCUUGGGAUACCACCCUUGUAGUACUGGGACUCUAACCAUAGGCCAUGAAUCUGGUCUUGGGACACUGUCAGGUGGGCAGUUUGACUGGGGCGGUCGCCUCCCAAAAGGUAACGGAGGCGCUCAAAGGUUCUCUCAGUACGGUCGGAAAUCGUACGUAGAGUGUAAAGGCAAAAGAGAGCUUGAUUGCAAGACAUACAGGUCGAGCAAGGAUGAAAAUCGGACUUAGUGAUCCGGUGGUUCUGCGUGGAAGGGCCAUCGCUCAACGGAUAAAAGCUACCCUGGGGAUAACAGGCUUAUCUCCCCCAAGAGUCCACAUCGACGGGGAGGUUUGGCACCUCGAUGUCGGCUCAUCACAUCCUGGGGCUGUAGUAGGUCCCAAGGGUUGGGCUGUUCGCCCAUUAAAGUGGUACGCGAGCUGGGUUCAGAACGUCGUGAGACAGUUCGGUCCCUAUCCGUCGCAGGCGUAGGAAAUUUGAGAAGACCUGUCCUUAGUACGAGAGGACCGGGAUGGACGUACCUCUGGUGUACCAGUUGUCCUGCCAAGGGCAUGGCUGGGUAGCUAUGUACGGAAUGGAUAAGCGCUGAAAGCAUCUAAGCGCGAAGCCAACUUCAAGAUAAGAUUUCCCACCGCAAGGGUAAGACCCCAGAAAGACUAUCUGGUUGAUAGGUCGAAGGUGUAAGUGCAGCAAUGUAUUUAGCUUAUCGAUACUAAUAGGUCGAGGACUUGACCAAU